AGAUGAAUUGCCGAGCAAAUCUCCUUUGGCAGUAAGCACACUCCGAAGAAAUUAGCACAUAAAUGGCCAACUGCAUUUCAAAAGUGGAUGCCUGCCAAGGGAGAUUUUGCUCUGUAAUGCUACU
rnacentral:pre_miRNA from 1 species